CGUAAAAAAUAUUGAAAUAGAAUCUUUAUCACGUGACCAGAAUGAAGAAGUUGGAGAUAUGUUUCAUAAGUUUUUUUAAACACGUAAAAUUUCUAAAUUUUAUGAAAAAAUAUAUAUUUACAGCUUUUAAGUGGUCCCACGAAACCAUUCUUCUAUUAAUAGAAGAAUAUAAAUUAAGAAAAACAGAUUUUAUCAACGGAAAAAUUUCACAGAGGAAAAUAUGGGCCUUAAUUGCAGAAGAAACGAAAAAACAUGAUGUAACUGGACCGCAAUGUUUGUCGAAGUUUUCCGGACUUGUUCCGGAUUAAAUAUAUUUUCCCGCUCCGUCUCCAAUACAAACGAGAGAAUGCCGAAUCUCGUUUACCUCGCCAAUAUUACCAUGGAUCAUUCGCAUGAUCCGUGAUCUUUUCCCCCUGCCAUCGAACCUAAGGCGAGAGUUUCGGGGUUCGCGCUCUCCCGAGACCGUUCGCGCCAGAUUCGCCGACGAGCUUCCGAUCGUUCGCGUCAUUACCUUUAAUCUCACACGCAGUUAUAUCGUUCUCGAUAAGUAAUCACGAGAGUGCGAAGAUAUCUCACGAACUCCUUAAUACGAAUAUAAGACAAGCCAAAGAAUUACUCGAACGUCCUCGUCUAGUACCACGGAGAGGAACGAGCGCGCGUUCAUAUAAAAAUUAAUGUAACAAAGCGAUCUCGCGCUGCGAGUGAAACGCAAAGAAGCACGCGCUCACACGUGAUCUGUGCAUGUAAUCCGCACGCCCAGCAUACCGGGUGUCCUCCGCGUGUGAUACAAGUAACAAUGUAGCUGGACCAAGUGGUAGUGUAACUGGACCAAGUAAUAGUAGAGUUAACUUGGACGAUGUAAAGCCAGUGCAUAGUAAGUUUAUGCCUAUUGCCUUUUAUGUUUUACUUUGUAAUUGAUUUUGUAGAAUGCUAUGUACGACGGAUAGGAGUCUUUUGACUACUUUGCAAUUAAUCACCAGCCACACUCACAGUGCUUGAACAGUGGAAAAACUCUAGGCACCAGCUGCUGUGAAUAGCUGUGGUCAAUUGCAACGUAGUUAGACGAGACGUUCUCAUAUACAACAUAAGGACAAGGCAAAGCAAUAGAAAAAUCUCGGCAAAUGUUGAAAAAUAUAUAGAAGAUCUUCAACAAGAAAAAAAAGUUUUAGAAGACGCUAUGGAGAGACGUCACAAAGAAGUGAUGCAGUCACGCAAACAAUUUCUUCUUUCAAUGGAAAAAAUGCUUGAAAUUAUUUUUAGAGCAAGAAAUAUUUAAAAAAUUCUAAAAUUUAAAAAGAGUGAUGCCAAGAUUUUAUAAUAGACCAGGGUCGAUAAUUUUCGAGACCAAAAAAAUUUAGAACAGGAUGGAACCCAUUGGAAAAGGAAGAAAAUAUAGCAAAAAUAAAAGAAAAAAUAAUUUAUGGGCGAUCUGAGGUCGGGAAG
rnacentral:lncRNA from 13 species